GAUGAACGCUGGCGGCGUGCCUAAUACAUGCAAGUCGAGCGAACAGAUGAGGAGCUUGCUCCUCUGACGUUAGCGGCGGACGGGUGAGUAACACGUGGAUAACCUACCUAUAAGACUGGGAUAACUUCGGGAAACCGGAGCUAAUACCGGAUAAUAUAUUGAACCGCAUGGUUCAAUAGUGAAAGACGGUUUUGCUGUCACUUAUAGAUGGAUCCGCGCCGCAUUAGCUAGUUGGUAAGGUAACGGCUUACCAAGGCAACGAUGCGUAGCCGACCUGAGAGGGUGAUCGGCAACACUGGAACUGAGACACGGUCCAGACUCCUACGGGAGGCAGCAGUAGGGAAUCUUCCGCAAUGGGCGAAAGCCUGACGGGGCAAAGCCGCGUGAGUGAUGAAGGUCUUCGGAUCGUAAAACUCUGUUAUUAGGGAAGAACAAAUGUGUAAGUAACUAUGCACGUCUUGACGGUACCUAAUCAGAAAGCCACGGCUAACUACGUG
rnacentral:rRNA from 1 species